rnacentral:lncRNA from 1 species
AAAGACUUGAGUUACUUCCAACAGGGGUCUAUUCGUCAGUCAAAACGUUAAUCUUGAAGGAGCAAAGGUUUGUUCAUGAGCUAUCAUGCUCGCUAGGCGAAGCCCACGUGUUAUGCAAACAAACAAAAAAAAACAGAAAAAAAACAAAAACAAAACAAAAACGAAACAAAACAAAACAAAAAAAAAAUACGAAAAAAGAAAAAAAAAUGAAAAACCAAAAAAAAAAAAUUAAAUAAAUAAAUAAAAGAAAAAAUCUCAGACUUAGACCUCUCUCAAAAGCCCACUAAGCUACCAAU